CCUACGGGGGGCAGCAGUCGAGAAUUUUUCUCAAUGGGGGAAACCCUGAAGGAGCGACGCCGCGUGGAGGAUGAAGGUCUUCGGGUUGUAAACUCCUGUCAUUUGGGAACUAGUACCAGAAGAGGAAGAGACGGCUAACUCUGUGCCAGCAGCCGCGGUAAUACAGAGGUCUCAAGCGUUGUUCGGAUUCAUUGGGCGUAAAGGGUGCGUAGGUGGCGCUGUAAGUCAGGUGUGAAAUUUCGGAGCUUAACUCCGAAACUGCAUUUGAUACUGCGGUGCUUGAGGACUGGAGAGGAGACUGGAAUUUACGGUGUAGCAGUGAAAUGCGUAGAGAUCGUAAGGAAGACCAGUGGCGAAGGCGGGUCUCUGGACAGUCCUGACACUGAGGCACGAAGGCCAGGGGAGCAAACGGGAUUAGAUACCCUUGUAGUC
rnacentral:rRNA from 1 species